AACCCAUGGUGAGGGCACCUUCUCAAUAAGUCAUUAUACCUCUUCCAUACAUCAUAUAGGGUUUCUAAGUCAAUUUGAAUGAAGGAAGAGAUAUCAUUCCUCAACUU
rfam:Gossypium hirsutum cultivar TM-1 chromosome 16, whole genome shotgun sequence